rnacentral:lncRNA from 1 species
CCUUACAAUAUCAUGAAAUCAUAUACACUUUAUAACACAAUAUAUAUCACACCUUUACAUUUCAAUCAUCAGGAAACAGAUUUUCUCUUUUACCAGCCUACUAGUAUCCCUGGAGAUCCAUAGGGGGUCCCCUCUACAUGUGAACCCUUAACAUUUAUAACCUGAUUGCAGGGCCGUCCCCAUACCCCGUCCGGUAUGGGCGCCAAAACCAUUAACCUCAAUAAUCCGUCUGGCAUGAGGGUGAAACGGGCCGUCCCCAUACCCAUCC